rnacentral:rRNA from 1 species
UGCAAGUCGAGCGGACAGAUGGGAGCUUGCUCCCUGAUGUUAGCGGCGGACGGGUGAGUAACACGUGGGUAACCUGCCUGUAAGACUGGGAUAACUCCGGGAAACCGGGGCUAAUACCGGAUGGUUGUCUGAACCGCAUGGUUCAGACAUAAAAGGUGGCUUCGGCUACCACUUACAGAUGGACCCGCGGCGCAUUAGCUAGUUGGUGAGGUAACGGCUCACCAAGGCGACGAUGCGUAGCCGACCUGAGAGGGUGAUCGGCCACACUGGGACUGAGACACGGCCCAGACUCCUACGGGAGGCAGCAGUAGGGAAUCUUCCGCAAUGGACGAAAGUCUGACGGAGCAACGCCGCGUGAGUGAUGAAGGUUUUCGGAUCGUAAAGCUCUGUUGUUAGGGAAGAACAAGUGCCGUUCAAAUAGGGCGGCACCUUGACGGUACCUAACCAGAAAGCCACGGCUAACUACGUGCCAGCAGCCGCGGUAAUACGUAGGUGGCAAGCGUUGUCCGGAAUUAUUGGGCGUAAAGGGCUCGCAGGCGGUUUCUUAAGUCUGAUGUGAAAGCCCCCGGCUCAACCGGGGAGGGUCAUUGGAAACUGGGGAACUUGAGUGCAGAAGAGGAGAGUGGAAUUCCACGUGUAGCGGUGAAAUGCGUAGAGAUGUGGAGGAACACCAGUGGCGAAGGCGACUCUCUGGUCUGUAACUGACGCUGAGGAGCGAAAGCGU